AUAAAAGCUGGAGAGAGAAAAAAAGAAUCAGAAGAUCCAGUCAGACUGAGGUCCUGAUGCCAUCAUCGCAGGUACCCUGCUUUUACAUCAGCCCCUCUUGGUCGAGAAGUAAUAGAAGAACACAGAAAGCAUACUUACAACUCAAUGUACCUAUCUUCUCGGGAGAUGGAAUACCACACCAUGACAACAACAAGGACCAGAGCCAGGGCCAGGAGCUUCCAGUCUGCAAGAUACAUGCACAACGGAGCUGAAGGCAGAGGCAGGCAGAUACAUCAGACGCAUGCCUGAUGAUCGAUACUGUCAACCUGUCAGGAUCUAGAA